rnacentral:misc_RNA from 1 species
UCGAGCGUCAUUAUAACCACUCAAGCUCUCGCUUGGUAUUGGGGUUCGCGGUCUCGCGGCCCCUAAAAUCAGUGGCGGUGCCUGUCGGCUCUACGCGUAGUAAUACUCCUCGCGUCUGGGUCCGGUAGGUCUACUUGCCAGCAACCCCCAAUUUUUUACAGGUUGACCUCGGAUCAGGUAGGGAUACCCGCUGAACUUAA